rnacentral:sRNA from 1 species
UGGAAAGUUUCCAUAAUGGAAACUGGAGACCUUUGUCUUUGUAAUAGGUAAAGCACCGUUAGUGAAAGUGCGAGCUUCUCAUGUAGCCCACAAAGGCCCUCAACAGUAACCUAGAAAGACCUUCUAAGCGACUGAUAGAGUUCAGUCUCCAUUCCCAUUCAAUUCUUGGCCUCU